AGAGUUUGAUCCUGGCUCAGGAUGAACGCUAGCUACAGGCUUAACACAUGCAAGUCGAGGGGAAACGACAUCGAAAGCUUGCUUUUGAUGGGCGUCGACCGGCGCACGGGUGAGUAACGCGUAUCCAACCUGCCCAUCACUUGGGGAUAACCUUGCGAAAGUAAGACUAAUACCCAAUGAUAUCUCUAGAAGGCAUCUGAAAGAGAUUAAAGAUUUAUCGGUGAUGGAUGGGGAUGCGUCUGAUUAGCUUGGUUGGCGGGGUAACGGCCCACCAAAGCAACGAUCAGUAGGGGUUCUGAGAGGAAGGUCCCCCANAUUGGAACUGAGACACGGUCCAAACUCCUACGGGAGCA
rnacentral:rRNA from 1 species